CAACCGCAAAAGAAGCAGAGGGGGCUUAGUGGUGGGGUGACUGCGUACCUUUUGUAUAAUGGGUCAGCGACUUAUAUUCUGUAGCAAGGUUAACCGUAUAGGGGAGCCGGAGGGAAACCGAGUCUUAAUUGGGCGUUAAGUUGCAGGGUAUAGACCCGAAACCCGGUGAUCUAGCCAUGGGCAGGUUGAAGGUUGGGUAACACUAACUGGAGGACCGAACCGACUAAUGUUGAAAAAUUAGCGGAUGACCUGUGGCUGGGGGUGAAAGGCCAAUCAAACCGGGAGAUAGCUGGUUCUCCCCGAAAGCUAUUUAGGUAGCGCCUCGUGAAUUCAUCUCCGGGGGUAGAGCACUGUUUCGGCUAGGGGGCCAUCCCGGCUUACCAACCCGAUGCAAACUGCGAAUACCGGAGAAUGUUAUCACGGGAGACACACGGCGGGUGCUAACGUCCGUCGUGAAGAGGGAAACAACCCAGACCGCCAGCUAAGGUCCCAAAGUCAUGGUUAAGUGGGAAACGAUGUGGGAAGGCCCAGACAGCCAGGAUGUUGGCUUAGAAGCAGCCAUCAUUUAAAGAAAGCGUAAUAGCUCACUGGUCGAGUCGGCCUGCGCGGAAGAUGUAACGGGGCUAAACCAUG
rnacentral:rRNA from 1 species